rnacentral:rRNA from 1 species
UGGGGAAUAUUGGACAAUGGGCGAAAGCCUGAUCCAGCAAUGCCGCGUGAGUGAUGAAGGCCUUAGGGUUGUAAAGCUCUUUCGUUAGGGAAGAUAAUGACGGUACCUAAAAAAGAAGCCCCGGCUAACUUCGUGCCAGCAGCCGCGGUAAUACGAAGGGGGCUAGCGUUGUUCGGAAUUACUGGGCGUAAAGGGCGCGUAGGCGGUUUAGUAAGUUAAGAGUGAAAUCCCAGAGCUUAACUUUGGAACUGCUCUUAAAACUAUUAAUCUAGAGUGCGGUAGGGGAUGAUGGAAUUCCUAGUGUAGAGGUGAAAUUCUUAGAUAUUAGGAGGAACGCCAAAGGCGAAAGCAGUCAUCUGGGCCGUUACUGACGCUGAGGCGCGAAAGCGUGGGGAGCAAACAGG